rnacentral:rRNA from 1 species
UGCAAGUCGAGCGGAAAGGCCCUUCGGGGUACUCGAGCGGCGAACGGGUGAGUAACACGUGAGCAACCUGCCCCUGACUCUGGGAUAAGCCCGGGAAACUGGGUCUAAUACCGGAUAUGACCGCCUCCGGCAUCGGAUGGUGGUGGAAAGUUUUUCGGUUGGGGAUGGGCUCGCGGCCUAUCAGCUUGUUGGUGGGGUAGUGGCCUACCAAGGCGACGACGGGUAGCCGGCCUGAGAGGGCGACCGGCCACACUGGGACUGAGACACGGCCCAGACUCCUACGGGAGGCAGCAGUGGGGAAUAUUGCGCAAUGGGCGGAAGCCUGACGCAGCGACGCCGCGUGGGGGAUGACGGCCUUCGGGUUGUAAACCUCUUUCAGCAGGGACGAAGUUGACGUGUACCUGCAGAAGAAGCGCCGGCUAACUACGUGCCAGCAGCCGCGGUAAUACGUAGGGCGCAAGCGUUGUCCGGAAUUAUUGGGCGUAAAGAGCUCGUAGGUGGCUGGUCGCGUCUGCCGUGAAAGCCCGCAGCUUAACUGCGGGUCUGCGGUGGAUACGGGCCGGCUAGAGGUAGGUAGGGGCAAGUGGAAUUCCUGGUGUAGCGGUGAAAUGCGCAGAUAUCAGGAGGAACACCGGUGGCGAAGGCGGCUUGCUGGGCCUUACCUGACGCUGAGGAGCGAAAGCGUGGGGAGCGAACAGGAUUAGAUACCCUGGUAGUCCACGCUGUAAACGUUGGGCGCUAAGGUGUGGGACCCUUCCACGGGUUCCGUGCCGGAGCUAACGCAUUAAGCGCCCGCCCUGGGGGAGUACGGCCGCAAGGCUAAACUCAAAGGAAUUUGACGGGGGCCCGCACAAGCGGCGGGAGCAUGUUUGCUUAAUUCGACGCAACGCGGAGAACUUU